AAUGGGCGAAAGCCUGACGCAGCAACGCCGCGUGGGGGAUGAAGGCUCUCGGGUUGUAAACCCCUUUCAGCAGGGACGAAUCAAGACGGUACCUGCAGAAGAAGCCCCGGCUAACUACGUGCCAGCAGCCGCGGUAACACGUAGGGGGCAAGCGUUGUCCGGAUUUAUUGGGCGUAAAGAGCUCGUAGGCGGCUGAGUAAGUCGGGUGUUAAAUCCCCAGGCUCAACCUGGGUCACCACCCGAUACUGCUCUGGCUAGAGUCCGGUAGGGGAGCGUGGAAUUCCUGGUGUAGCGGUGAAAUGCGCAGAUAUCAGGAGGAACACCAGCGGCGAAGGCGGCGCUCUGGGCCGGAACUGACGCUGAGGAGCGAAAGCGUGGGUAGCAAA
rnacentral:rRNA from 1 species